GAAACUUAAAGGAAGUUGACGGGGCCCGCACAAGCGGAGGAGCAUGUGGUUUAAUUCGAUGAUACGCGAGGAACCUUACCUGGGCUCGAACGUAAGAUGACUGUAGGUGAAAGCUUACAUCUCUUCGGAGCAUUUUACGAGGUGCUGCAUGGUUGUCGUCAGCUCGUGCCGUGAGGUGUCGGGUUAAGUCCCAUAACGAGCGCAACCCUACCUUUAGUUGCCAUCAGGUAAUGCUGGGGACUCUAAAGGAACUGCCUACGCAAGUAGUGAGGAAGCGGGGAUGACGUCAAAUCAGCACGGCCCUUACGUCCAGGGCUACACACGUGCUACAAUGGCCGAUACAGAGGGCAGCUACCUGGUGACAGGAUGCAAAUCUCCAAAGUCGGUCUCAGUUCGGAUCGGAGUCUGCAACCCGACUCCGUGAAGUUGGAUUCGCUAGUAAUCGCGCAUCAGCCAUGGCGCGGUGAAUACGUUCCCGGGCCUU
rnacentral:rRNA from 1 species